rnacentral:rRNA from 1 species
AGGUUAAUAUUCCUGUACUUGGUGUUACUGCGAAGGGGGGACGGAGAAGGCUAUGUUAGCCGGGCGACGGUUGUCCCGGUUUAAGCAUGUAGGCUGGUUAUCCAGGCAAAUCCGGAUAAUCAAGGCUGAGGUGUGAUGACGAGGCACUACGGUGCUGAAGUAACAAAUGCCCUGCUUCCAGGAAAAGCCUCUAAGCAUCAGGUAACAUCAAAUCGUACCCCAAACCGACACAGGUGGUCAGGUAGAGAAUACCAAGGCGCUUGAGAGAACUCGGGUGAAGGAACUAGGCAAAAUGGUGCCGUAACUUCGGGAGAAGGCACGCUGGUGUGUAGGUGAAGUCCCUGCGGAUGGAGCUGAGACCAGUCGAAGAUACCAGCUGGCUGCAACUGUUUAUUAA